GGGGAUUUAGCUCAGUGGUAGAGCGCUUGCCUAGGAAGCGCAAGGCCCUGGGUUCGGUUCCCAGCUCCG
rfam:Rattus norvegicus chromosome 6, whole genome shotgun sequence.